AGAGCAGAAUCUAUCAGGUGUCUGGCAGUCAGCCAUUUUCUGAUCACGCUUAUUCCUCAUGGUAUCCACUGCUCAUGAAGACACAUACUCCGGAUGAGCAUUUAGAUAUGUAUACCAAACGCGCUAACAAAAGACGGUACAUUUAUUUUGGACCUGGGAUUCCUGGAGUGCUUUCUGAUGUAGAUCAAAGCUAAGUCCUCUCCUGUUCCCUGAUUAAGAGGUGAUGACAACUCCACUACCAUUGUCAACUCUCUCCUGACAUGAACUGAAGCCACGUCUCAUGUGCUCGCUCAUCCACUGGCACUUUGCAUGUUUCCUCUCCAAGCACUUUAAAUCCUGUCCUGCACUGAAGUCAAGCCUCUGAACACCUCAACUCAUGCCUCAUACCUCACUGCUGUGAUCCCUUCUCAUUCCCAUUCCCCAUAAUAUUGUACAAUACAUGUCUUUAGUAAAUGAUUUAGGUGAAAAUAAUUACUCUUUGAUUAUUUUUUAAAUACACAUAGACGUCUCCUUGCGCCUAUACCAUUGGUCUCCCAUCCUCCUCAAUUGUUAAAGUCACCAGCCUCCACUGCUCUCCACUGUGGUACUGUCUUAAUGCUAGACACAAUGCCAUAGUAAUUAGAUUGUAACCAGUGUCUAAGGGCUCUAUUCAAUUCACAUCGCGGAAGUUCAGCUUUAGUGUGAUUGAAAUUUAAAGGCAACGUUCCUACUUUAGCAGAGACUGC
ensembl:lncRNA